AAAACAUUCACUCUGUGGUUAAAGUUUUUAGAAUUUUAAUAACUUUCUCAAACUAUCCUGGGUUUGUACCAAACUUGGACAGAAGCUUGUUUAUGAUCAUAAGAUAAUAUCCAGAAGUAAAUUUUGUAAAAAUAAAAUUUCAUUUUUUCCGUAUUUUACUUAUAAAUGGACUUAGUUUUUUUCUGCGGGGAAACAUUACAUUCACUCUGUGGUUAAAGUUUUUAGAAUUUUAAUAACUUUCUUAAACUAUCCUGGGUUUGUACCAAACUUGGACAGAAGCUUGUUUAUGAUCAUAAGAUAGUAUCCAGAAGUAAAUUUUGUAAAUAAAUAAAUCCAUUUUUUC
rnacentral:lncRNA from 1 species